AUAUUUUACUUCAUAGCCUUACUGCAAAAGAUUUAAUAUUUUAAACAUGGAGGAUCCAAAUUCCCUUUUUAUUAGAAUGAUUUCUAGAGCAGCAGAACAAAAAUUCAGCUCAUGGAAAAGACGGGAAAAUGAAGAAAUUUAUGAUAAUGGGUUUUAAUUAGGGGAAUUAUGAUAUUUGUAAUUAAAAGACCUCAUUUUAUUCUUUCAGCGUGUGUGACUUGCUAAUUCCACUUCUUGUUUUAACUUUUUAUAGCACUAAGAGGAGCCACUACGCUCAAAGCAAGAUUAGGAUGCAAAAACAAAUUAAAUGGAAGCACAUCGAUACUACAAAUCGAGGAGAACAAUGAUUUUGAAUUCGAUUUUGAAAACUGUAGAUCCAUUCUUGCCAAGCGUUCCGAGCUCAUAUCGAGACAUUAGAUGGAGAGAAAUGAGGAUGCUAAACAUCAUGAUUCCGAGCCGCCAACUCCACAUUCAUUUAUAAAAAUGGGUUCAAGGUUAGUUCAAUUAUUAUCAUCACCUGCAAUUAAGGGCCAAAUAGUGUUCCAAUUUGCAAUUUCUGGGGACAUGUUCUGAGAGUGUAGUAACAUGGAACACCCAGAUAGAACAUUGGCUAGUGUUGCCCAAUGCAUUGAGCAAUUGGGGUAGAAUUCUUCAUCUGUACAGGAACAAGAGUAAUCCUUGAAGCAGUUGCUCCAGCAUAUUGAUACAUGCGAAAGUGUUUUCAGUGCUGUUGGAUCUCAUUCUCAGGCAGUUCCUGUACUCAUGUCUCCUCUUCAAUCAGGAUCACUUGGGGUAAAGAUGCAGGCUGCUACUGCUUUCAACUGAAUGAGUAGUGCCGGUACUAUGGGAGCAACUACAGAAGGGGCUGAAGGCUGGAAACGUUGUUGAUAACUUGCUAAUAGGAGCUUUAAGAAACCUUUCCAACAGCACUGAGGGAUUCUAGUCUGUAAUCUCUGUAAUCACAGUGACAAUAUACGUGCAUGCGUUGAGAGCGUCGAUGUUGUUCCUGCUUUACUAUGGCUACUAAAGAAUGGUAGCUCAAAUGGGAAAGAAAUUGCCGUGAAGACAUUGAACCAUUUGAAGAUCUUAUUUUGCUCCGAUCUCCGAUCUCCCAAUCGCAUUGAAGAUUGAUAUAAGGAUAUUGAAAAGUAUGGCUUUGGAACAGGUGGAGUUGAAUGUUGUGUAGUGGCGAGUAAAUGAGAUUUAAUUGGAAGCAAAUCAUUUUCAUAGAUUGUUAGUUGCUGCCUUUCUAGUUAGUUCCUCGGCUCAAUUUAUCCAUCAAUUCAAUCUCAAACCUUUCGACUCUCAAACUCAACAAGAUGCAACCCUUUUUGAGUGCGUGAUGAUAUCUUUGCAUAUUAAUAUUGGAGCUUACUAUUGAUAUUAAAACAAACUGUAAUAUAUAUAUAUAUAUAUUUUAUUUGUAUUGUCGAUACUUUUGUUUUACUUUAGAUACAAAAAUAUAUAUUCUUGAAUAUAAAAAAUUAUUAGUAUUGUUGGAGGAUGUUUUUAUAUAUUUUUGUAAAGAAUAUUUUUGGUUUACAAUUGUU